CUUCAACAACAUGUAUCCUAGAGAAGAAAAGAAAAAUACAGAGAAGAUUAGUAUGGCCCUUGCAUGAGGAUGACAUUCAAAUCCCUAAGAUACAUGAAUUUCUA